GUUAUUUUUGACUGUAAAAGAGGGAUGCAACAGCACUAAAAAA
rnacentral:sRNA from 1 species